rnacentral:rRNA from 1 species
UACGAAGGGAGCUAGCGUUGUUCGGAAUCACUGGGCGUAAAGAGCUCGUAGGCGGUUUCGUAAGUCGGAUGUGAAAACUCCAGCUCAACUUGGAGACGCCAUUCGAUACUGCGAUGACUUGAGUCCGGUAGGGGAGUGUGGAAUUCCUGGUGUAGCGGUGAAAUGCGCAGAUAUCAGGAGGAACACCGGCGGCGAAGGCGGCACUCUGGGCCGGUACUGACGCUGAGGAGCGAAAGCGUGGGUAGCAAACAGG